rnacentral:rRNA from 1 species
UACGAGGGGGGCGAGCGUUGUUCGGAAUUAUUGGGCGUAAAGGGUGCGUAGGCGGUUUGGUAAGUCUUAUGUGAAAUCUACAGGCUCAACUUGUAGUUUGCAUGAGAAACUGCCGGGCUUGAGUGUGGGAGAGGUGAGUGGAAUUCCUGGUGUAGCGGUGAAAUGCGUAGAUAUCAGGAGGAACACCUGUGGCGAAAGCGGCUCACUGGACCAUAACUGACGCUGAUGCACGAAAGCUAGGGGAGCAAACAGG